GCAAGUCGAACGAAGUCGCCCAAUUGAUUCUUAGUGCUUGCAUUAAGAUGAUUUUGGAUCCGACUGAGUGGCGAACUGGUGAGUAACACGUGGGUAACCUGCCCAGAAGAAGGGGAUAACACCUGGAAACAGAUGCUAAUACCGUAUAACAACAAGAACCACAUGGUUCUUGUUUGAAAGCUGGCCUUUGUGCUAGUGCUUCUGGAUGGACCCGCGGCGUAUUAGCUAGUUGGUGAGAUAAUAGCUCACCAAGGCAAUGAUACGUAGCAGACCUGAGAGGGUAAUCUGCCACAAUGGGACUGAGACACGGCCCAUACUCCUACGGGAGGCAGCAGUAGGGAAUCUUCCACAAUGGACGAAAGUCUGAUGGAGCAACGCCGCGUGAGUGAAGAAGGGUUUCGGCUCGUAAAACUCUGUUGUUAGAGAAGAACAGCCGUGAGAGCAACUGCUCACGGUAUGACGGUAUCUAACCAGAAAGUCACGGCUAACUACGUGCCAGCAGCCGCGGUAAUACGUAGGUGGCAAACGUUGUCCGGAUUUAUUGGGCGUAAAGGGAGCGCAGGCGGUUUAUUAAGUCUGAUGUGAAAGCCUUCGGCUUAACCGGAGAAGUGCAUCGGAAACUGAUAAACUUGAGUGCAGAAAAGGAUAGUGGAACUUCAUGUGUAGCGGUGAAAUGCGUAGAUAUAUGAAGGAACACCAGUGGCGAAGGCGGCUAUCUGGUCUGUAACUGACGCUGAGCUCGAAAGCAUGGGUAGCAAACAGGAUUAGAUACCCUGGUAGUCCAUGCCGUAAACGAUGAAUGCUAGG
rnacentral:rRNA from 2 species